rnacentral:lncRNA from 1 species
AGUGCUCUGAAAAUCUCAUUCUCUUUCAGACCCUGUUUGCUUUGAGGUGCAGACCUGGGAAGGCACGUGCCUCUUCUCCAUGCUGCUUUAUCAAGAAGCUUUUCCAUGGAAGAAGCACCUUCCUGAGACAGCAGUCAGGACAGCACCAGGCUUGGAAAAACCCGUUAGGACAAUUCUGACAAUGAGGCCAUUUUCCAAACUGACAUGAGGUUAACCGAGAACUUUAUUGUAAACAUUUUCAGUUGGUAUCCUACUAAAAACCACUUAGAAUAGGGGUGAGAUCACUUGCCUUCUUAUAAUACUGCUAAGAGAGAGGUUACAUUAAUAACCAAAUUGCACAUCGCAGUUGUCAGUGUGUAAUAGAGAUACCAAGGGGUUAACAUACCAUGUUUUGGGUAGUAAAGCAUAUUUUGGUAUGUAAGAAGCAAUAGUAGUGACUGGAUGGGGUCAUAUUCUGGAAAGAUUUACUCCUGCAAUUGUGGAAUGUUACUCCUGGUAAAAGGGCAUGGUUCCUGAAAGCCUCCAAGGGUCGGCAGUAGGUGGGUGGGUAGUGCACAGAUAAAGAAAGGGGUUAAGUAUGGAAGUGGCAAGAUGAGAGAAAGCAUGUGCAGGGGAGUAAAGGCUUGCUGGAUGCUUCCAUCUGUCUGAAAUGCCAGGCUGGGGCAGGGAGCUUGGCGUGGUCUUAGGCAGUCUGGGUCUAGGCACUGGCUGGGAAGCAGGAGAAAAUGUGAGGUGCAGUCAUUGAGGCGAGGCAAGGUGCGGGUCAUGGCUGCGGCAGGGCUCGUUUUUGGCUUCACACGUCUCUCUCCGGUCAGGAGAGAGAAGCUGCAACCUGCUCGAUGAAGCUGGCCAAGUUGAUGUCUCUCUCGGAUAAACCCGUGCACUCGUGGGUGCUCAAGGUGAUGUGAACCUUAUUAUACACGUUGAACCAUUCAGGGUGGUGAUCCAGUUUUUCUGCUUGCAGAGCCACUCUGGUCAUGAAGCCAAAGGCCCGGUUGAAGUCCUUGAAGUGGAACUCUUUGAAGAUGGCAUCUCUUCCUUCCACCUCGUUCCACCCCACGGCUCUCAGGUUUGGCAGCAGCUGCUCCCUCUCCUCUGCAUUCAACCUGUGGGCUUUACCUGCCAUGGCCCGCGGCUGUCCGUGGCCUCCGCGGCGGUGCCGGCCGGGCGCUGUGCGGG